AAUAAUAAGGUGUUUUAGCAUAUUGGUUUUUGGUGUCAACGGAGAAUAGAUUUCUAUUAUUA
rnacentral:tRNA from 1 species